UAACAAGUCUCUUUGGGUUAGGAAAUCAUCUCUGUGUAUUUUUCGAAUAAUAUUUGAGAGGAUAGCACUUGGUGAAUUCACAGUGGAGGAAUGAGCUGCCAACAAGAAAUCUAGAAGGACAUGGAAGGAUGCCUUUGUGCAAUUCAUGAAUAACUUCAAGGCCGAGAAGGGAGAAACAACUGAAACUUUCUUGCAAUAGAAAAGGGAUGGAUCCUUGUUCUUCAGGAACUUUCAAAGCUAAAAUAAGAAGAAAAGAUGUUGGAAGACACCUCCCCCUGUCUGCCUACACUGUUGAGGGUUUCCUUUCAAGACACACAGUUUUAUC